ACUCCGAAUUUAUAACCUGAUUUUUGUGGACCUGUGGGCUCAAGUGAGAGAGGUUCAAGUCCAAAAUUUUUUCUUUUAUUUAUUUAUUUAUUUAUUUAUUUUCGUUUUCCGAUUUUUUUUUUCGAUUUUUUUUUUAUUUUUUUUCGGUUUUUUUCGUUUUUUUUUUCAAAACACGUGGGCUUCGCCUAGCGAGCAUGACAUCUCAUGAACAACCUUCGCUCCUUCAACAUUAACGUUUUAACUGACGAAUAGACCCCUGUUGA
rnacentral:lncRNA from 1 species